GAGAGAACAUUUGUUUGGACUGCCAAGUUAAAUCUUCCUCCCUCAUGUCAGGGCAUUGGAAAAGCAGUCAGGGGAGAGGGGAAGGGGGAGAGCGGGGGAAGCAGCGGCGGGAGGGAGAGGGGAGGGAGGGGAGAGCGAGGCGGGCAGGCUCAGAGCCCCAGUUACUCGGGCACUGCCUGCCCAGGAAGCUGAGGCUCCCAGGCAGAGCAGCCUCGGCUCCCGGCACCCAAGCAGGGACCCGGCCGCCAGGCCUCGCUGAUCAGCGCCGGGUGCCCGAAGCCCUGGGGCCCGGUCCUCAUGUAUUCGCUCUGCGCCCAGCUGGAAGGGCGAGGUGGAACAGGAAGGCCGGGAAGGGAAAAGUUUGCGACAGGUAGAGAGACGCCAGGAAUGUGAAACAAGCUUCCAGAGCCCGCCCCAUCCACGACCCCAGCUCCAGCCCCGGCCUGGCCCCACAACCUCCGCCCCGGGGCCAGCCUCCCACUCCCCGGGGGCCACCGCCGCCGGAGACAGAGGAAGAAAGAACACGGGGAAAUUACUUUCGUAUUUGCACCGCGCGCGGGCGCGCACACGCGCACACACACACACACACACACACACACACACACACGCGCGCACAUCUUCCCUCUGGGUUCUCCCGGCUGGGGCAGCCCCAAUCAGGCGUGGGCCCGAAAGCCCCUCGGGUUUCCAAAAGCCUCACUCGAAGCUCCUCCACCUCCACACACCCCUUGGCGCUCCCGGCUCCGCAAGGCGCGCCUCGUUUCCCGGGGCGAUUCCCACACAAACAACUUAACCGCGCCCCCACCUCCCAUUUACAAGAGUGUGUGUUUUCUCUAGAAAUUCAGAGGCACAACUUAACACCACCAUCUCUCGCCACCCCCGAAAUCCCGCGCCUUCCCCAGAGGUUCCAGUACGCACACAGGAACACAACUUCACAUUUCCCCAAAGGAGGCGAAGGAGUCCGAGGCGGUCCUUCCCCGGCCUUCCUUACUCCCUCCUCCGGAGCCCGGUCCGGCCCGGCCCCCGGGGUUCCGAGCGAGGGCUGGAGGCGGGCUCGGUCCGCGCGCGCACUGCCUACCGCACUCGCGCCCCACACGCCCGGAGCCCCGGCUCCCGCGCGCAGCCCGAGCCGGCUCCGCGCAGCCCGGCACUCGCCAGGAUGCAGUCCGGGCCUCCGCCCCCGGCCGCCUCGAGGAGUGCAGCGAGCAGCGCUACGGGCCACCCGCCCACCCCGAAGGAUCCUUGAAAGGAAAAGCCCCAGCGCUCAGCACCCCACGUUCGCACCCCAGAACCCGCGGGGAGCGGAAAAAGCCUCGGGGCUAACAGGCUCCUAGCUCUGUCCCCAAACUUACCCGGCGCUGCGAGCACCGCUGCCGCCGCUGGAGGACGCGCCGCUGCCGGCGAGGGCCGGCUGGGGCCGGGAGGAGAGCGGCGAAGGCGCCGGGAUCGCGCAGCUCGGCUCGGCUCAGCCCGGCCCCCGCUCCGUGCCGGCCGGGGCCGGAGUCAACGCGCUGCGCCGGCGCUGCUAGCCCGCCUGCCGCCCGCCCGCCCGCCCGCCGCCCGGCUGCUAGCUCUCCCGGGCGCCCGCCGCAGCCGCCUGCUUUUUUAAUGUCCACAGACAGUGAAAAGGAACUCGGCGUUAGGGGGCUGCCGCGGUGUCGGAGGCGAGGCGAGGAAGGGAGCUGGAAUAACAAAGGGCUGGAGAGAUCACUCCUUCUACCGCCGGGAGAGAGGAGGCAACAUGAAUUCAUUCCCAAGGCUCUGGUAGUCUGACAGCCGAUGAACUCAGCCUGGAAUUCCUGAAGGCUUGGAGCCUGCAGCUCGGGUCCCCGGGACUUGAUGUGUCCGUGUGCCGUGCGGAACCUGUUUGAUUUUCCCAGGGGAAACCCUGCCUUCUCCUGCCACUGGGCACUGGGGAAGGUGCUCCUUUCCUGCCUCCUCAGCCUUCCGACCUGUCACAAGGACUGUUACUGCUGCUGCUUCCCCCACUCACCCACCCACAGGUGGCAGCUGAGUAUCUGGGGAGGGUGGGUGAUUUGCAAUCACUUCCUGACCUUUAGGGACACCCAGAGGCACCAUCCCAGCAAAUUCCUGUGGGAGGGAGUCCCUGCUUCUCAGCCUGUGGGUGGCCCAAGUUCACAGGUGGGUUGAGGGCUGCCUGAGAAAUCCUUGAAGGCCUGCUUUGGAAAGUGGGAAUUCAGCUUGCUGCCUGUUGGCUAAACCUACAGCUCACCCACCACAGCAUCCUACAGCAUUGCAAUGAGCAGAAAGCCACCCCCACGCCCAGGACUAAAAUCCCAUAGUGGAGUUUUCCAAGCAUUUAAGGACUUGGAAUGCAAGAAACCAGCCACAGCCAGCAACUGGGCCAGUUCCUGUUGCCUUGAUGACACCGGGUCAGGACACCUGGCCCUCUCAGCCUUCUGUCCAAAUCCCUCACUGAGUACCCAGAGCUGGCUAUCCCUAGGAGGUGGGGGGAUGCAGAUAACCUCAGGAUGACCAUUCAUGUUCAAAAGCUCCUGUCCAGAAGCUUCUGGCCAGUAUUUAUACCUGGGAACCAGGAAGUGACUGCAGGAACCAAGCAGGAGCCAAGCAGGAACCAGCCCAGAGCGAGUGCUAUUUGUGUACACGCCUUAUCUCCCUGCCAGACAGAGAGGCAGCACUGGCUUGUUGAAAGAGCUUGGACUUUGGAGCCGAAUGACCUGGCCCCAGCAUCCCAGCCCUGCAGGGAGCUCAUACCAACUUUGCAAGCCUCAGUUUCCUUAUCUGUGAAGUGGGACUGCUGAUAACUCCUUUCAAGAUGAUUUUGGCCAUUAAAUUUGACUAGAAAUGUAAAUUCCUUUUCCUGUUCCCAUGUGGACUGCCCUCCUUUUGGGGACAGAUUGCCUCUUUGUAGUCUUCUGUAAUGUUAAUAGUGACAAAAGUAUAUGGCUGUGCUGUGCAGGGAGUGUUGUUCUCAGAACUUACAUAGGCUAACCCAUUUCAGCCUUGCAAAAAUUGGAGCUAUAGUGUUAUGUCCAUUGAUAAAUGACAGUGUGGAAGAGCUGAGGUUUGAAUCCAGGAAAACUGGCCCCACAGCCUUGGCUGUUGGGCUCCAUGCCAUGUUGCCGUGCUAUAAGGGUUCUUGGUGGCUUGUGGAGUGGUAGAGUGCAUGACAUCUUGGCAGUCCUGUUCCUUGCCCUGACCCAAGGGGUAGGGGCAGGGAGAUGCAGGAGAC
rnacentral:lncRNA from 1 species